rnacentral:rRNA from 1 species
AAGGGGCAGUAAUGCAUGGGUACCUACCCGGUGGUUGAGCAUAGCCGUCCUAACGGACGGGUAAUACUCGAUGACGUCGUAAGACCAAAGCUCCGGCGCCGUCGGAGGGGCCCAUGUCGGAUUAGCUAGUUGGGGGGGUAACGGCCCACCAAGGCAAAGAUCUGUAGCGGGUGUGAGAGCACGACCCGCGCCACUGGCACUGAGACACUGGCCAGACACCUACGGGUGGCUGCAGUCGAGGAUCUUCGUCAAUGGGCGAAAGCCUGAACGAGCGAUGCCGCGUGUGCGAUGAAGGCCUUCGGGUUGUAAAGCACAAAAGAGAUGAGAAAGGGCAACUUGAUCGAAUCUCAGUAAGCUCGGGCUAAGUUCGUGCCAGCAGCCGCGGUAAGACGAACCGAGCGAACGUUGUUCGGAAUCACUGGGCUUAAAGGGCGCGUAGGCGGGCGGCUAAGUCCGCGGUGAAAUCCUCCAGCUCAACUGGAGAACUGCCGUGGAUACUGGUCGUCUCGAGGAAGGUAGGGGUAUGCGGAACUAUCGGUGGAGCGGUGAAAUGCGUUGA